AUAUUGUGACAUUUGAUAGAAAUGUCACAUAGUUAAGAAUAAAAUGACAUUUAAUUAGUGAUAUGUAAUUAUGUACAGCAAAUGUCAAAAAAAAUACUAGUUUCAAAAAAGUAAGAGAAUUUUUUUUCCCAAAUCUACCUCUCAAAUCUCUAAAAAAACCCUAACAAUUGAAGUUCAUUUUUCCCCUUUCCAGUUUCUCUAUCCCGUCCGAAUCCUUACACCCCAACCAUGAAUCUCAAAAUCCUUCAGGAAUAGCAGUAUGAAAUGUAUUCUCUUCUUGCUCAAUUCACUAUUUCCUUCUCUUUGUCUACUGCGCAUUGGAAUAACUCUAGGUUAGCAUUUUUCUUUAUUUCUUGAUUGGAUUCGAAUUCUUCCUUAUUUCUUGUGAGUGUUUUGAUUUCUCAGAGGAAUUCAAUCAUAUUUAUUGCAUUUGCCUGUGUUCAAUGUAUUUACAGCAGAGGAAUUGGGAGUUUAGGGUUUUGAAGUUUAAUCUAUGUUCUGAUUUUAUUUUGUGGUUGUGAUCGUGUGGUGAUUUGGAGAUAUGUUUGUUUGAAUGGAAGUUGUGUGGGGUAUUAUUACACAAUAUGCUAAUGGUGAUAUUACAUUCACAGAUUUAUGCCCCACGGCUGUUUGACAAAAUGCCUGAUAGAGCAUCUUAAACACUAUGAUCUUCCCUAUUGUUUAUUUAUUUCAAAAUAUGAACUAAAUUUAUGAGUUUUCCUCAAUUCUUAAUUGAUUCAAUGAUGUGCAAGUCAGCAACAAAGGAUUUUUCAAAUUCUCUAAGACUUCCUUUAAGUUAAAUUGUCAAGAUAUGAUGUUAAGAUUUUUUGCGUCCCUUAAAUGUCUUAUGCUUCUCUUUGGGUUCGCGUUGCACUACAAAGAGCUCAACUUAGAGAUGUGCUAGCUUUGGGGCUUAAUGUUACCAGGUAUUUAUUCUUGUACACUUAAUAAACUAGUUAGUUGCAUGAUCAUAUUAAGCAGUCAUCAGAUGUCAUGAAAAUAUUAUCUUGCACAGAAGGAGAAUGCUAGUAAGUAAACAUCACAUCCAUAUGUAUCAUUAGCUUUAUAUACUACGGGCUUGUUUAGUUAGUACAGUAUGGUAAUUAACUCUUGGCUUUCAAAGGAGAAAUGCUAUAAUGAUAAGUCUGCUAUAUCUACAUAUAGGGUGCUAUCUACUUUGCUAAUUAUUUUUGUCCCUACGGCAAUUAUGCAAUCGGUUUAAUAUCUUUAGAAUUUACUAGGUUGAAAUGUACCGAUGGCUAUGCUGGUUGAUUAGGUGAAGAAUAAGGUAGCACACAUAUACUGACCUUUGUGUGUAUGAUAUGGAGUUGCAGUGAGAAAGUCCAGAGUGUGGCAACUUAUGGUUGACUACAACCUUGUUGUUUCAAUUCAAUAAAGUGUCAAAUGGGGGGAAGUGCAAGGAAAUUGGAGCUGAAGGGAUGUAGCAGAAAAAGUGGAAGAAAGAGUUGAGGAAGUGAAACAAUCUGUUGCAGAAUUUGCUACAAUUUGCUUGUAUCCAGCCUAAUAGUUUCUUUCUACCAUUGUUUGAUUGUAAGGAUGUGCUGCUAUUCACAAAUACAUUCUUGUAAUUAGUUACGGAGAUUUUUUGUUAACUCAUUUUAUUACAGUUCAAAUUAUAUAUAUUUAUUGACAUUUAUAAGUA